rnacentral:rRNA from 1 species
GCCUGCAGCUAAACUAUCCAGAUCAUCAGUGCUCUCGUCUGAUCUCGGAAGCUGAGCAGGGUUGGGACGAGUUAGAAUUUGGUAGACGUCUCCCUGGGAAUACCAAGUGCUGUAAGAU